GAUGAACGCUGGCGGCGUGCUUAACACAUGCAAGUCGAACGAAGCAUUUAGGACAGAUUACUUCGGUUUGAAGUUCUUUAUGACUGAGUGGCGGACGGGUGAGUAACGCGUGGGUAACCUGCCUUGUACUGGGGGAUAGCAGCUGGAAACGGCUGGUAAUACCGCAUAAGCGCACAAUGUUGCAUGACAUGGUGUGAAAAACUCCGGUGGUAUAAGAUGGACCCGCGUCUGAUUAGCUAGUUGGUGAGAUAACAGCCCACCAAGGCGACGAUCAGUAGCCGACCUGAGAGGGUGACCGGCCACAGUGGGACUGAGACACGGCCCAGACUCCUACGGGAGGAAGCAGUGGGGAAUAUUGCACAAUGGAGGAAACUCUGAUGCAGCGACGCCGCGUGAGUGAAGAAGUAAUUCGUUAUGUAAAGCUCUAUCAGCAGGGAAGAUAGUGACGGUACCUGAAUAAGAAGCUCCGGCUAAAUACGUG
rnacentral:rRNA from 1 species